AGAGAAUUGGCCGAGUGGUUUAAGGCGAUAAGUUUGAGUUUUAAUUAGGUGAUAAACCUGCAUCCGUUCGAAUCGGAUAUUCUCUG
rnacentral:tRNA from 1 species